CAGCAGCCGCGGUAAUACGUAGGGUGCAAGCGUUAAUCGGAAUUACUGGGCGUAAAGCGUGCGCAGGCGGUUAUAUAAGACAGAUGUGAAAUCCCCGGGCUCAACCUGGGAACUGCAUUUGUGACUGUAUAGCUAGAGUACGGCAGAGGGGGAUGGAAUUCCGCGUGUAGCAGUGAAAUGCGUAGAUAUGCGGAGGAACACCGAUGGCGAAGGCAAUCCCCUGGGCCUGUACUGACGCUCAUGCACGAAAGCGUGGGGAGCAAACAGGAUUAGAUACCCAAGUAGUCCCUGUCUCUUAUAC
rnacentral:rRNA from 1 species